CUGUAGAGUGGCAAUGAAACCGUUACCAUUACUGAGUUUAGUAAUGGUAAGGGUUCUGUUGCUGCUCUUCCA
rnacentral:pre_miRNA from 1 species